CUUCGAUACUCCGGGCUGCUUGUAUGCAGAGCUGUUUUAUGAUUAGUAGAAUCCCCACCUCCACCACUUAGGUAUCUGCUUCUGAAGCCUUACAAUAGUAGUCUGAAAAUAGAUGUGUUGACAUCCUAGCUGGAGAGAACAGCACAGCCUUUUACUCUGAGUUUUUAGUACCUGAAUAACAUGCGUUUGUGUUUUUUUUUUUUUUUUGACUGAUGCUUGCUCUACUGCGUAUGUGAGGAGAUGCUCGUUUCCCAGCUCUUUUAUCAGUUUCAUCAGUUUGUUCUUAUUGUCUCUUCUGUUACUUCUCAUUUGACAGUGGUACUACAGAUUGCUCCUUGGUUUGGCUCAUCGUGUAGCUACAGAAACAGUUGUGCAAGCAAAAGAAACAGGUUCAGUAGCUCUCUUGCUGGCCGGAGUCACUUCAAUAUGCAGUUCAUGGGUGAACUGCAGCUUCAGGCUGUUGUUGCUGAGAGUACUCAAUUUUAAUUAGAAGAGCCAAGAGAGCAGAACAACCAUGUUUAUCUCAUCCAUGUCAGCAUCAAGACUGAUGGCUUAUCAUAGAAAAACAUCAGCAGAUUAAGACAAGCUGCUAGACUUUGCACUGAAGCAACUGAAUGCUGUGCAUUGCGCUGACUCUUCAGGGCAUCGUGACCUGUGCCAGGAGAGUGACAAUAAGCAGCUCAGGGACAUCACUUUUUAUUCAUGCUAUGAACCUUUGCCUGUAGUUUCCAUGAUUGCUGAUGUUUAAUGAUCGCACUUAGUUGUCUUACUGUAACUUACCCUUUUAUGGCAUAAAGCCAAUAGCUAAGUAUGCAUUGUUUGUCUGAUGUCAAUUUCGUUUGGAUUCAGGGAUAUUUACUAGCAUGCACUGUAUAGUGGUUUGUUUUCUGAAGGCUUUUCUGAUAGCUUUCCCUAGGGGGUUUUGCAUUGUUGUGUGUAUUGUAUUAUUUUGUAUUCAGCUACUUUUUGUUUAUUUGUGCCUGCUUAGUGUUAAAGCUUACAGGCCUUGACAUUUCUGUCAUACUCAAAAUAACAGGGUAAUAAUGAGUUAUCAAGGUGGAAGACUGAAUUAUUCACCCUCUUGGGAACAUACUGUUCUUUGGUUUUGGAGUAAAUCUAUCUCCCAGUUCAGAAAACAACACAGUCCCCCUCCAAAACCUUUAACACAGUUCUUGACAAUACAAUAGAUACUCUAUCUAGAUUGGAAAGAAUUCGAUGCUUAUAAACCUAGUACUUUUCUAUAUAUAAAAAAAAAAAAAGUUGUACUUUAUUGUAGCCAUCUUUGGUUAGCUAGAGUAUUCUUAAAGUCACUUUGCACCUUAUGUUGUUAACUGUGAGCAUCUAAACAACUAGCUAGUACUUUAGAGAUUUUUUUUUUUAAUUUCCUUUAGUUUGUAUUCUUCAUGGUAUUAGUUUCUGAGAUUUUAUUUUCUCUGUAGGGGCAAGCAACUCAGUUUUUGAAUUAAAUGAAAACUUUCCUUUAAAUAUAACUCUAGGAGUUAGUUUUCAAAUAUAAGCAUUGUUUAAUAUAACAGAUUAUACAGCUUUGGAAUUUAUGGUCCUGUUGCCUAGAUAGUGUACUGAAGGAUCCAACAUUAAGUGUGUUGGAAAAUAAUUCUUCAACUAUACCUGCAAGCUGUCUUCUUCACUCUUUAUUGAAUUAUACCCAGGGUAAUAAUGUCUUGUUUUUAAUUACAAUUAUUUAGAAGUUUCACUCUUGAUUCACUUAGUUGGAUGGAUAAACUAAUUGCAUGACCUUGACUCUGUUAUGCAAAUAAACUCAUGUAUAUGUA